UUGAGCUUAGUUUAAUUGGGAAAACUAUGGUCUUCAAAUCAUAAUAGAGGUUCGAAUCUUCUAGCUCAUGCCA
rnacentral:tRNA from 1 species